GUUCGGUUAGCGUAAUGGCAACGCGUCAGUUUCCGGAACGGAAUUUACUGAAGAUUGCGGGUUCGAGUCCCGUGCUGAACU